rnacentral:rRNA from 1 species
UACGUAGGGGGCGAGCGUUGUCCGGAUUUAUUGGGCGUAAAGCGCGGGCGGGCGGCCCGGUAAGUCGGCCGUGAAAGCGCCGGGCUCAACUCGGCGAGGACGGGCGAGACUGCAGGGCUGGAGCAAGGCAGAGGGCGGUGGAAUUCCGGGUGUAGUGGUGGAAUGCGUAGAGCUCCGGAGGAACACCAGUGGCGAAGGCGGCCGCCUGGGCCUUUGCUGACGCUGAGCCGCGAAAGCGUGGGGAGCGAGCCGG